rnacentral:rRNA from 1 species
AUUGAACGCUGGCGGCAGGCUUAACACAUGCAAGUCGAGCGGGGGAAGGUAGCUUGCUACCGGACCUAGCGGCGGACGGGUGAGUAAUGCUUAGGAAUCUGCCUAUUAGUGGGGGACAACAUCUCGAAAGGGAUGCUAAUACCGCAUACGUCCUACGGGAGAAAGCGGGGGAUCUUCGGACCUUGCGCUAAUAGAUGAGCCUACGUCGGAUUAGCUAGUUGGUGGGGUAAAGGCCUACCAAGGCGACGAUCUGUAGCGGGUCUGAGAGGAUGAUCCGCCACACUGGGACUGAGACACGGCCCAGACUCCUACGGGAGGCAGCAGUGGGGAAUAUUGGACAAUGGGGGGAACCCUGAUCCAGCCAUGCCGCGUGUGUGAAGAAGGCCUUAUGGUUGUAAAGCACUUUAAGCGAGGAGGAGGCUACUCUAGUUAAUACCUAGGGAUAGUGGACGUUACCCGCAGAAUAAGCACCGGCUAACUCUGUGCCAGCCGCCGCAGUAA